UGUGCCUACGGGACGCAGCAGUGGGGGAUAUUGCACAAUGGGGGAAACCCUGAUGCAGCGACGCCGCGUGAGUGAAGAAGUAUUUCGGUACGUAAAGCUCUAUCAGCAGGGAAGAAAAAUGACGGUACCUGACUAAGAAGCCCCGGCUAACUACGUGCCAGCAGCCGCGGUAAUACGUAGGGGGCAAGCGUUAUCCGGAUUUACUGGGUGUAAAGGGAGCGUAGACGGCUGUGCAAGUCUGACGUGAAAUGCCGGGGCACAACCCCGGAACUGCUUUGGAAACUGUACAG
rnacentral:rRNA from 1 species